UUUUUAUUCAAAUUUAGUUUGAAAUUCAACGAAGUACGUUUGAAAAUCGAGUUGCAGUAGUUAUCGUAGAGAAACUAGUGAUGUGGCCAAUAAAAUAAUCUACUGAGACACUGUCUUUCUAAAUCACGGGGUGUCAGACUGAUAAAAUGGAAAAUUGGGCGUCGCCGUAAAACGAAAAUUGAGUCAAUCAGACAACUACUUACGUCUUACGAGCGAAAACUUGAACAAAUAUUCGGAGAAGCGUCAUAGAUUUGAAUAGAUUUUGAACGAAAAUUAUUGUAGGAAAAGUACGUCCGAACAUCGACAUUACUCAAUCUAAAAUGGUCGAUUUGUCGAUACCGUGAUUUGGGAAACAUUUUUGUGCUUGAAUUAUCGAAGAUACGUAAGAGAAACGAUAAAUUGUUCUCGAAAAACCUCUUCGAAAUUUUCAUGUACCGCAAAAGUUGUCCCAACCACUGUCAGAAUCGGCGAUGUUAGACUUAGCAAAGAUUGUGUCUGGAUGAUCCUCUCCUAAAAUCAUUUUUCGUUUCUCUAAAAUCUCUUCGAACCUUUGCAGCGCCUCCGAAUAUUUGCCCAAGACUGCAGUACCGAUCAGCGACUUCGAAUUUCGUACUGAUUGUGGUACAAUCAAUAAUAAUUUUGAAAUCGCUGAUUCGUAAACAAUUGGGGCAAAUAUGCGGAGACACUCCAAAGGUUCGCAGAGCUUUUAGAAAAAUGAAAAACCAUUUUUGGAGAGGGUCAUCGAGACACAAUCAUUGCUAAGCCUACCAUCGUUGAUGUACGAGAAACGAAAAACCAACUCAGGAGUUGAUCACCCUUCACCAUUACAUUAAGUUUGACAAAAUAAUUGUCUUAGUCAUUUGUGUCAGAUUUGUAGCUUUUAUGAUUUGUAAUUAAACGACACAUCAAACGAU